rnacentral:rRNA from 1 species
CGGUAGAGUUUGAUCCUGGCUCAGGACGAACGCUGGCGGCGUGCCUAAUACAUGCAAGUCGAGCGGACCGACGGGAGCUUGCUCCCUUAGGUCAGCGGCGGACGGGUGAGUAACACGUGGGUAACCUGCCUGUAAGACUGGGAUAACUCCGGGAAACCGGGGCUAAUACCGGAUGCUUGAUUGAACCGCAUGGUUCAAUCAUAAAAGGUGGCUUUUAGCUACCACUUACAGAUGGACCCGCGGCGCAUUAGCUAGUUGGUGAGGUAACGGCUCACCAAGGCGACGAUGCGUAGCCGACCUGAGAGGGUGAUCGGCCACACUGGGACUGAGACACGGCCCAGACUCCUACGGGAGGCAGCAGUAGGGAAUCUUCCGCAAUGGACGAAAGUCUGACGGAGCAACGCCGCGUGAGUGAUGAAGGUUUUCGGAUCGUAAAACUCUGUUGUUAGGGAAGAACAAGUACCGUUCGAAUAGGGCGGUACCUUGACGGUACCUAACCAGAAAGCCACGGCUAACUACGUGCCAGCAGCCGCGGUAAUACGUAGGUGGCAAGCGUUGUCCGGAAUUAUUGGGCGUAAAGCGCGCGCAGGCGGUUUCUUAAGUCUGAUGUGAAAGCCCCCGGCUCAACCGGGGAGGGUCAUUGGAAACUGGGGAACUUGAGUGCAGAAGAGGAGAGUGGAAUUCCACGUGUAGCGGUGAAAUGCGUAGAGAUGUGGAGGAACACCAGUGGCGAAGGCGACUCUCUGGUCUGUAACUGACGCUGAGGCGCGAAAGCGUGGGGAGCGAACAGGAUUAGAUACCCUGGUAGUCCACGCCGUAAACGAUGAGUGCUAAGUGUUAGAGGGUUUCCGCCCUUUAGUGCUGCAGCAAACGCAUUAAGCACUCCGCAUGGAGAAG